UGGGCCCACAUGCAGGUAGGUGCUUGUCAGUGUGUCAGUGAAGGUCCGCGCCUCGUCAGGUCCUGGUGUGGUGGCUCCAACAUUCGGUCUAGUCAUCUUCCUCUGGCACUUGUCAUCCUGGUGCGUGGCAGGUGACAUCUUUUGGACCUUGGCUAGAAGUCGUGCUUAAUAUAAGAUUCAAAGGUGGUCUGGACACCCAAUUUGGUCAGACAGGUGAAGAGAGCAUUUAGGAUA